CUCGGAUCAGGUAGGGAUACCCGCUGAACUUAAGCAUAUCAAA
rnacentral:rRNA from 1 species